AUAAGAUGUCCGCCCUAUGUUCUACAUAUUCUCAUUCGCUUCUCCCUCCAAAACCAAACUCCUUUCCUUCUCCAUCUCUUCGUCUUCUCUCUUCUUUGAUUAUUCUCUCUUCUCUUCGUCUUCGUGUUUGCAUCUUCAGAUUUGUUUUCGGCAGCGUUGGUUUUUUUUUUUUUUUUGUAUGUGGUGGUAGAUGUCGUCGAACGAAGGCCAUCGCCUCCCUGUUCAGUCGCGCCACCAUAAGCUGGAGCCACCGUCGUCUGGCCACCAUCGGGCAGCCCAACUCCUUCGCGUCACUUCCCCCACUGUGCCUCUGUUUUUCCUGGGAUGCUAGCAUUACAAAAGGAGAUGCAAGAUUCGGGCUCCCUGGUGUAAAGGGAUGUUAGGUUGUUAAAUUCAUGCAUUACAAAAGGAGAUGCAAGAUUCGAGCUCCCUGCAGUAAAGGGAUGUCAGGUUUGUUGAGUAAGUUUUAAUCAAGCAACAAAACUAUGAAUAUUAACAGCUCAGGAGAUGCCGGUUGCCCUAAUGUGUUCAGGAAUGCAGUGUGGUGGUGGCGGCGGCUUAGAUCAUCAUAUAUGGUGGAAGGGGCAGAGAUAGUAUUAGAACCACAUAAAAUGGGGUCAUGAUGCUGGUUGGAAAUCAACUUCUUCUUCUCUUAUUCUCUCUUUUUACACAAAAGAGAGUACCAAAGUUCCUUUUAGUAAUGGAGUCUGCCACAAGAAACAGUUAUUGAAGAAGAAUUGAAGACAGCCAAAUUUGAGCAUAGGAGUAAUAAAGGAUGUAAUUAUGGACCACUGUAUGAGUGGGAAGUUUUGCAAACAACAACUUGCCCAUGAAGCGUUGCAAUGGUACAUAUGUAGAAUGGGAGCUUGGUUUGCAGCAGAUGCUUUCGUUUUUGUUCAUUCUUUGCUCCUUGAUUGUGUUCCCAUUUUAUUUUCCUUUUGCCUUUUUAUUAGGAAAAUAUAUUCUUUUGAUCAUAUGAGGAACAAAAUAACAUGUAGUUGCAGAGAUGUGAAUUUUAUUAGAUAAAGGAGUUCUUGGCUGGCUUGUUUUCAUGUCAGUCUAUGUUUCUCUC